rnacentral:rRNA from 1 species
UACGGGGGGGGCAAGCGUUGUUCGGAAUUACUGGGCGUAAAGGGCUCGUAGGCGGCCAACUAAGUCGGAUGUGAAAUCCCCAGGCUUAACCUGGGAACUGCAUCCGAUACUGGAUGGCUUGAAUUCGGGAGAGGGAUGCAGAAUUCCAGGUGUAGCGGUGAAAUGCGUAGAUAUCCGAAGGAACACCGGUGGCGAAAGCGGCUUACUGGGUAUUUUCUGACGCUGAUGCACGAAAGCUAGGGGAGCAAACGGG